rnacentral:rRNA from 1 species
UGGGGAAUUUUGGACAAUGGGCGAAAGCCUGAUCCAGCAAUGCCGCGUGUGUGAAGAAGGCCUUCGGGUUGUAAAGCACUUUUGUCCGGAAAGAAAUCCUUGGCUCUAAUACAGUCGGGGGAUGAUGGUACCGGAAGAAUAAGCACCGGCUAACUACGUGCCAGCAGCCGCGGUAAUACGUAGGGUGCAAGCGUUAAUCGGAAUUACUGGGCGUAAAGCGUGCGCAGGCGGUUUGCUAAGACCGAUGUGAAAUCCCCGGGCUCAACCUGGGAACUGCAUUGGUGACUGGCAGGCUAGAGUAUGGCAGAGGGGGGUAGAAUUCCACGUGUAGCAGUGAAAUGCGUAGAGAUGUGGAGGAAUACCGAUGGCGAAGGCAGCCCCCUGGGCCAAUACUGACGCUCAUGCACGAAAGCGUGGGGGAGCAAACAGGAUUAGAUACCCCUGGUAGUCCACGCCCUAAACGAUGUCAACUAGUUGUUGGGGAUUCAUUUCCUUAGUAACGUAGCUAACGCGUGAAGUUGACCGCCUGGGGAGUACGGUCGCAAGAUUAAAACUUAAAUGAAUUGACGGGGUCAUAGCUGUUUCCU